rnacentral:pre_miRNA from 1 species
CCAUUUGAAAUGAGGAUUAGAGGAAACUGAACCUUUUGAUAUUCAUCAAAAUGGUUCAGUUCCCUCUAAUAUCUCACUUUGAAUGG